UCGGGUCGAAGUCUGUACGGCUCUAACUUCUGUUGGGGAUGAUCUCUUUCUGGAGGAAGCUGCUAUGGAUGUUACUCCUGUUUGGGAUGAAUUCUUUGGCGAUACAACCAUGGUGGGUGGUGAGGAACUUGAAUGGGAGGAUUUGCAGAACGCGAUCACCUGGGUUGAAGAACCCGUCCAAGUUAGUAUUUUCAGUCUGGAAGAAGCAGAAGAAGUAGUAGAAGGAGAAGAAGAGUUGCUUGUAGCAUCGAGGGAUGAGGAUCAAGAUCAUCAUGAUGUACAUUGGGAGGUUUCGUUACCUGUUAACAAUGUUGGUUUUUUGGAAGAAGCUGAAGAUGUUAUGGAUAUGGUAGACGACUCUGCUCUUAUGGAUUUUCAUUACGGCGUUUUUCUAGCUAGUAUAGAUGAAUAUGAUGAUGAUCAUGGAGAUUACGAUGCCAUAUUCGCACAAUCAUUCGAUCAAGAGGCUGGAAUAAACGGGAGUCCACCGGCAUCCAAAAGGGUUGUAGAUGAUCUCCCAGUUGUGGAAAUUACCACUGAAGAAUUGAGCAAAGGGGACAUUGUUUGCGCAAUCUGCAAAGAUGAAGUUGUGGUGGAGGAGAAAGUAAAGAGGCUUCCUUGUAAGCAUUACUAUCAUGGAGAGUGUAUCAUACCUUGGCUAGGGAUAAGGAAUACAUGCCCUGUUUGUAGGUAUGAGCUACCAACUGAUGAUGUUGAGUAUGAAAGGAAUAGGAGAUCACAAAGGCAUGGUAGCAGCGUUUUGGCAAGGGAUUUGAUGUCCGAGUAGAUUGAAGUAAUU
rnacentral:lncRNA from 1 species